GAAGUAGAGAUGACUGGGUAACUUGCAGCUUCAAGCCAGCCUUUCAACAGCCCCAGGACAGGAGUGGCAGAGACAACACUGCUUGCUGGUGAGAGUGGGAAGAUGAGGACACACAAAUGCCUUCUGAACACCUCAGACUACAAUGUCUUCCUCAAGCAUUCUGUCCUGCUGCGUCAGAAAACAAUGUUCUUAAAACUGGAUUCUCCUGGAAUAUUCAUACAAUAAAUACAUGAAGACUCUAACCUCUAGAUUUAUAUCUAUUCUUGAAAUUUCUGAUGAUAAAAUUUUGUUUAAAAGUCCACAUUUGAGAGCCAGGCAUUGUGCUGAAUAUCUUUAACCCCAGCACUCAGAAGACAGACGCAAGCUGUGAAAUUCUAUUGGGCCCAAAGUAUACAGCAUGUUAGUACAAGCCUGAUGAUGAAAGGUAACUCAAACCCUACAUAAUGGUGCUCUUAUAACUGGGAACUAAUGGGGAGAGGAUCAGCUCAAGCUGCAUAGUGAGUUUAAGGCUAGCCUGGACUACUACAUGAGACCAUCUCACAUUCCUGCCCCCCAAAGAAAAUGCAAAUCAAUACAAAAAACUCAAAAGCAAAUU